rnacentral:lncRNA from 1 species
AGCUCCUGCUGGUCUAACCUGCACAGCCUGGCUAGGAAGUAGGAAAGAAUCAACUCUGGCUGUGCCAGUUGACAGAAUUGAUCUCCUGGGCACUGGGAGGAAGGAAAUCAUGACAUAUGCUGCAACAUGGUUGAACCUUGAGGGCAUUAUCUUCAGUGAAAUAGGCCACUCACAAAAGAACCUGUCAAAUCUCCCCAUGGUGAUGAGCUCAGAUCCAGCAGAGUCAAGCCAAUAUUCAUUUGUUUUCAAGCAACUUUUCUCUCCUGAUCACCCGGAAAAUCCUUCCAGAAUUACCAAUAAUCAUCUCAACAAAAAGUUGAAGAGAGCCAGCAGUAAAAAGAGAAAACAAUAGCUAAAAGAAGAAUCAAGAACAAAGCAAAAGGACUUUGUGAGGAAGGAAAGAAGCUUCCAGGGCUUCAGCAGAAGAAACAAGACCAAGUGGAGCAAAUGCAGUGAAAUCAGGACAUGAGAUCUUUUCAAACUACUUGUAGAGGGUGGUCAGCACAAACAACACACCCUAUUUCAAGGAGGACCUCUGUUGGCUUGUUAUUGUCAUAUGUCCCUGGAGAGAGAAGGGUAUGGACAGUCAUCUUCUCCAUCUUAGGAUACAGACAGCUGUGUCUCCCAAUUUGCCUCAUCUGCUGGCUUCCAGCUAGGUUUGUUCAUGAGAGGCACUCAGGAGAGAUUGGAGAACAGGUACAAGAAACCAGGGUGUUGUGGCAUGAUGUCCCGCAACAGGAGAGCUGACUAAUACAAUAAUCCCCCAAAGUGAUUUGGAAAGUACCUUAAACUGAAAAGAUGGGAACAAUCAGCAGCUGCAGAAACACUACUUGAGUAAAACCUUAAGAAAAAUUUAAAUUUAAGUAGAGUCUCCUAAGAUAUAUCUUCCACUGACCCUUCUCCAAGGGAGUUUCUUGCUUAUGAGAAGACAACCUUGUAUCAAAAAGUCUGAUAAAUAUUCUUGGAAGCCCAACUUCACCCUGACAUUUGUUAGAUUGUAUGGGGGAUUGAACUCAGGACCUUGUGCUUGUGAGGCAGGCGUGGCACCACUGAGCGACAUUCCUGGUGCCCCAUUCUAUUUGAAUAGUGAAAACACAUACCAAGAUAAUGCCUCUGAAUAUUCCUUCUCUACCCCAGUCACAUGAUAUUCAGAUCAGAAAACACUGAUCCCUGCCUGAUAAGCUAGCCUGGUAUCUUCAUCUCCAGAUAAAGCCCAUUACAAGUGCUUUGGCCUUCAGGUCUCUACCCCUUUCCUCCGAUCAUGGAUGCUCUUGCAGCACCUACCAGCCACUGCCACCUGAAAUGAGCAAAAGAUAAACAUAUCCAUGAAUAAGAACAUCUAUAGCAAAUGCUACAAACAACAGCCAGCAUGUAGCGGCUGAGGACAACACUUAGGAACAUGCCACAAUGAUCGGGUCACGUGUAGUGCAAGAGUCCUGGCAACCAUGCUCCUGUGCUUCUGACUUGUCACUAACCCCGAGGUCUUGAGCAAGGCACUCACUGCAUCUGCCCUUCACUUCUCUGAAAAAGGCUAAGAGUGUGGACCAUUAUCCUCUGGUGCCAAUAUUUAAGUGAUGAGACUCUUUGUCCUGAAAGACUUGCAGGAGAAGGGCAGAGCAUCCUGGUUUCUUGCCAAAGGAGGAUUCAGAAUUGGUCUCAUCUUACAGGGGCACCAGUGACUAGAUUGAGGAACUGUCAAAACUGAGGAGAAGACCCCAAGCUGGAGGCCUGUCCCUGGUAUGGUACCACUGCAGUAGACCAGAGUGGAAGAGGAGGGUCCAGGAGUUCAGAGCACAUCAGGGACCCAGAGACAAUUGGGGACUCUAUGUAAU